rnacentral:tRNA from 1 species
CGAUGUAAAGGGAUGUAGCGCAGCUUGGUAGCGCGUUUGUUUUGGGUACAAAAUGUCACAGGUUCAAAUCCUGUCAUCCCUAUCCCUAACUAGUAGUUAUCGUAUCAGCAGUAACAAUAGAUCAAUUGCGACCGAUUCAAAUUGAUACAUACUCAAUAUGGAGAACUAUUCAUAUUGAGUAUGUAUGCAUGCAAGAUCUAUUGCCAUCACAAAAAAUUAUUUAUGAAAAGAAAGCGCUCUUAGUUCAGUUCGGUAGAACGCGGGUCUCCAAAACCCGAUGUCGUAGGUUCAAAUCCUACAGAGCGUGA